rnacentral:rRNA from 1 species
UGGGGAAUCUUGCGCAAUGGAGGAAACUCUGACGCAGCCAUGCCGCGUGAGUGAUGAAGGCCUUCGGGUUGUAAAGCUCUGUCUAAGGGGAAAAAUGAUGCGAUGUCGAAUAGGCAUGGCAAGUGAUGGUACCCUUAAAGAAAACACCGGCUAACUCCGUGCCAGCAGCCGCGGCAAUACGGGGGGUGUAAGCGUUGUUCGGAAUUAUUGGGCGUAAAGGGUGCGCAGGUGGCCGAUCAAGUCUGGCGUGAAAGUGCGGGGCUCAACUCCGUGAUGCGCUGGAAACUGGCCGGCUAGAGUACAGCAGGGGGCGUCGGAAUUCCAGGUGUAGGGGUGAAAUCUGUAGAUAUCUGGAAGAACACCGGUGGCGAAGGCGGACGCCUGGGCAUGUAC